rnacentral:rRNA from 1 species
AUGACUCAGGGUGGUCGCAGCCACGCUUGGUCUCUAGCUCGGCCACAAGCACGGCUGGCCCCUUGCGCUUCGUGUCCUUGGCCUUGGUCUUCUUGUCUUCUGGGUCACCAUCAGGGAGCUCGAGGAGGGAGAGGCAUCCCUCCUCAGCCCUUGCACAUUUGUUCACCAUGUUGA